UCGCCAGACUCCUACGGGAGGCAGCAGUGGGGAAUAUUGCACAAUGGGGGAAACCCUGAUGCAGCAACGCCGCGUGAGGGAAGACGGUUUUCGGAUUGUAAACCUCUGUCCUCUGUGAAGAUAAUGACGGUAGCAGAGGAGGAAGCUCCGACUAACUACGUGCCAGCAGCCGCGGUAAUACGUAGGGAGCAAGCGUUGUCCGGAUUUACUGGGUGUAAAGGGUGCGUAGGCGGCUUUGCAAGUCAGAAGUGAAAUCCAUGGGCUUAACCCAUGAACUGCUUUUGAAACUGCAGAGCUUGAGUGGAGUAGAGGUAGGCGGAAUUCCCGGUGUAGCGGUGAAAUGCGUAGAGAUCAUACAGAACACCGAUUGCGAAGGCAGCUUACCAAACUAUAUCUGACGUUGAGGCACGAAAGCGUGGGUAGCAAACAGGAUUAGAUACC
rnacentral:rRNA from 1 species